rnacentral:lncRNA from 1 species
AGAACAAUCUUUAAGUUAAAACAAAAGGGACAGACACAAAACAGAAAUUUGUAUGAUAGGAGACUUGAAUGACAUUCUAGAUUUUUCUCUAUACAUUUCUCUUAAUUUUUUUUUAAGAAAAAAAAAUUGUUGAUCAUUUAAAAAUAACCCAAUGGCUAAUAAUAAAGUAGCUGAGAAUUACUAUCUUCUAUCUUCUUUUUCAUUAAUUUGUUGCCUCUAAGUGUCUGUGUGAGUGCAUGAGAGAGAGAGAGGGCAAACCCUUCUUAAACAUGAAAACAAAUGUACGUGAAAACAAAUAUACAUAAAAACUUUUAAAAUGGUAUUCAUGUCAGAAACAGUGAAUUGGAGAACAUAGCUAUUUAAAAUAU